rnacentral:tRNA from 1 species
GGGGGUGGUUGUGUCCCGGUGGGCGCCACAGUCUUCAAAACUGCUGGGAGGCGUUAAACGGCUCCGGUGGGUUCGACUCCCAUCCACUCCCG